rnacentral:rRNA from 1 species
UAGUCCACGCCGUAAACGAUGGAUACUAGCUGUCCGGGGCCUUGAGUCCUGGGCGGCCAAGCGAAAGUGAUAAGUAUCCCACCUGGGGAGUACGUUCGCAAGAAUGAAACUCAAAGGAAUUGACGGGGGCCCGCACAAGCGGUGGAGCAUGUGGUUUAAUUCGAUGAUACGCGAGGAACCUUACCAGGGCUUAAAUGCAUUACAACAGGUCUAGAGAUAGCUAUUUCUUCGGACCACUUACAAGGUGCUGCAUGGUUGUCGUCAGCUCGUGCCGUGAGGUGUCAGGUUAAGUCCUAUAACGAGCGCAACCCCUGUUGUUAGUUGCCAGCGAGUCAAGUCGGGAACUCUAACAAGACUGCCAGUGCAAACUGUGAGGAAGGUGGGGAUGACGUCAAAUCAUCACGGCCCUUACGUCCUGGGCUACACACGUGCUACAAUGGUAGGGACAGAGAGCAGCCACUGCGCGAGCAGGAGCGAAUCUAUAAACCCUAUCACAGUUCGGA